CUACAAUCACGUCGACUGGCUGAGGUCAAAUUUAAAACCAUGAAAUCGUCCUGUCUGAAGAGCACUACUGCUGACCAUUUCUGCAAGCGCAAAAGCAUCACCAUGAAAAAUAAACGUGCUUUGGAAGACAAUUUCUUGCGACCUCUUGUGAUGACAAUGACAAAAAUUGGAAAGUAGGGUGCAAGAUCAGCAGAAGUCACUAGAAAUAAUGAUAGGUACCAUCGAACAUUUGAAACAAACUCAGGCUGCUGCACCCACUGGACCUGAUUUAUCUCUGCUGGACGGAUUGCUACCAAUACAAGAUUGGUAGACUUUGAGGACUUUGAACAACAGAUAAAUGGGGACAGUGCACUUAGAAAGUCACUGGUACAUCGACUCCAGAUUCUUGGGGGAGCAACCGUCAAAGCAGCAGUCAAAACCAUGAUUGACUUCUGCAUGACAAGUGGACUCCAGUAUGAGUUCAACUGGGAAGGUCAUCUUGGCUGUAAGACUAAAACAAA